rnacentral:sRNA from 1 species
GUUGCGACCCGACUUGAGCGGAAAUCCUUUUUACGCAACGAAGUGGAGUGAAAAGAUUGGGAGCGGAAGGCGGAAAAGUCG